rnacentral:lncRNA from 1 species
AGGAUUCGAGUCGUAGCUGCACAAGCGUCUAACCUCCGCUGGUAUCCACAUGGAGAUGCCUAAUCAGAGCACCGAAACCAUUGAUGUGCUAGCACCUUGCAGGCCUUGCUCCUCAACUUUGGAUCUUUAACUUCUUGUAGGACUCGAAGAAGAUGAACACUGCAUGAACCCUUUCGCAUAGAUCUGAUGGAAUUGAAUCAAACCACCAAGAAGAGACAAAGAACCUUUCUUAUUCUUUUCUUCUCUCUUUAUUUUUCUCCCUAAGAUAUGAUCUACUUGAUUUUUGGGCAUGGAGGUGAAGGAGAAAAGAAAAGUGGCAUUGAGAAGUUGUUGUGCGGCAAGAAAAACUUCUCCUUUCUUAUUAG